AUGCUGCGCUUUCUGAGGACAGGAGAGCAUGGGUGCCUGCUGCCCGGGGCGCUGGCACUUUUCAGACCUUUCCUUUCGAGAAAUCGAGCUGCGGAUAGUGUGUGUACAGUUCAGCAAAGCAGGGCACGGAAGCACAACCAACAUGUUCAAAAGCUGAAGAUGAACGUUGGUUUGCGACUUGGGGUUGAAAGACACUUUAAUUUUUUUUUUUUCUUGGAGCAGAGAAAGGUUUAUUGCAGGGCUGAGCAAGGAGGACAGGUGCUCAUGCCCAAGAAAACCCCGACACUUUAAUUUUUAAGUCGGUUUCCGAAUUUCAGGCCAAAUGCUGCUCUCAGUGCACUGCAGGAGUGCACGCCAGGUCCCAGUGGCCGGGAGAGCUAGGGGAGGCUAGUGGCCGGAAGGGGGCGGAGAGGCGUCAGUGGCCUCGAAAAGAGUUAGGGGCAUCAGACCUGAGUGGAUUCAGAGGACUUGUGCUUCACCAUCCUGCUCUGAGAGGUUUUGAAUUAGGUUUCUGGAGAGUUUCCCCUUCCCUGAGACCCAGCUUUGAGUUUAACUCCUGGGACCAAUGUACUCCGGGACUGUGCCGCGAGCGCCUGAAAAGGACCCCCUAGGCGGAGUAGAAACAUUUGAAGGUGGGGCCCUCUUGGCUCUGAAGAGGUUUGAGGUCCAGGGGCCGGGGCUAGAGGAAGAGCUGGGACCUGGCUUUUAAUGGAGAUCAUCUUUCCCAGCACAGGAAGGCAUUUGUCUGCCUAAUGACCUGCAAGCAGGAAGGAUACUCUGUAACCUCACUUUGCUCUGCUGACCUUCUCCGGAGACGCAUCAACGAAUCCCUUUAAGAGAAAACAGGACAAUGGGCGUAGUGGACGCUGCAGAAGCCGUUAGUAAGUCCAUUUCCUCUAUUCUUUUCCAUUGUAUGAUAUUACAAGAAAUUGAAUAUAGUUCCCUGGGCUACACAGCCAAUUGAAGAAUAUCAAUAAAAAUUUAAGCAUCUAUUCAGACGUGACUGUUGGGGCCCAAAGCUUGACCCUGGGUGAGACUGGACCCAAUAUAUGAGUAUCACCCAAAGAUCUUUCUCAAAUUGACAUACAAAAGACUUGGGAAGAGAUUCAAGGCAAAAAUAAUCCUUAAAAUCUCAUUUAAAGUCCUAAAAUUUGAAGAACUUUUUUUCAGAAAUAGGACAGAAUGCUCCGUAAUGAAAAGUGAAAGAAAUGAGGUUGACACUGUGGGAAUAACUCUUCCGGAAGUCACUGCAGCCAUCCUCCAGCACCAGAGAAACAGGCUUCCAGGACAUCUGGAAUCAACUACCAUUCUGAGCACUUUUAAGGAUCUGAAAAUUAUAUAAUUAGAACUCAUUAAAUAAAAAAAAUUAUCUGUGUUUUCUAGAUUUAGAGUUUAGAUUUUUGAAAGCAGGUUAAGAAAGGUAGUCUAGGGGCUCAAUAUACAACUUUGAAGCCAAGUUUUGUUUUGGUAAUACUCAGUUGAGAAAUUUAAAACCUAAUUCAGGUUUUCCUUUAGCUCAUGAAAUAAUGUUUGCCUCCUCAUUCUGAAUUAUUUCUGAAAGUCUUUAUUAUCAUUUUGUAUUCUUCAAAUGUAUGGAGUUACAGUUUGGGAAUCCUUUCACUGUGACUAGUCAGCAUCAGUGAUGGAGGAAAGAAAGAGGUCUGGUGAGAGAAAGGAGAGCUGAAACUUCAGACUAAAAAGGUCUUAUGAUAAUUUGAAGGUUUAAAAUAUCUGUAACAUCCAAGAUCCACUGCUAUAUAAAAAUAUUCCAUAGUCAUCACAAUAAAACUACCUGUUAGCUUAAGUAUUCCUCUCCUCUGACAGAUGACAUGAGGGUCAGGUAAGUACCUUGCUCCUGGUGGGUCUGAUAGUAGAUGCUGUCUCUAGAAGAGGAGAUGUCAACUGAAGUAGGUGUGUUUUGUUUUGGAAACCAUUUGUGUCUCCAGGUCCAUUUAUUCAUUCAGCAAGGAUUUAUCAAGCGGCUACCAUGUGCCCAGAGAUGCUGUAGUUCUUGGUAAUGUAGCCGUGAACAAAAGUGAUUGAAAAAAAAAAAAAAAAAAACCCCAAAAAACCUUUCCUGAAGCUUAGUUAGGAGAGACUAAGUAAUAAAUUUUUUUAUAGUGGUGAUAAGAAAAAUGGUGAAAAAACAGGAAAGUGGGCUAGGGGAUAGGUCAGCUUGGGUGGGUUGACAUUUAGACUGAGGCGGUCAGACCUGUGGGUGUCUGGGGAAAGGGCCAGGCUGAGGGAGCAGCACGAGCCAAGGCCCUGUGGGAUGUUCACCAGGCACCGCUGCGGCUGUGUGGAGUGAGCAAGAGGGGGGUCAAGGAUGACUCCAAGGUUUUGAGUAACUGGAGGAAUGGGAGAAGUGUGUGCUUGGGGAGUGAUGUGUAGCUUUCUAAGGCUUCUGGAUUCGUUCACUAGAAGGGAAUGCCAGCAUCUGAGGGUGAGGCUCAAUCUCGUCAGCACUUGGUGCCCAUCCUCACCACAGGCACAGACGCCUGCCCUCCCGUCUCCACUGAGUCUCCAUUCUACUCUCUGAACUUCCUGGUCAUCUUCUCCGGUGCCUUCCCAAGGAACUCCACUGUUUGCACAGAAGACUGCAGUUCUUACCCUGUAAUUCAGGGUCUCUUCAUAUACUGUUCCAUCCUUUUUGUCCAUCAGUCCCUUUCAUUUUCUCUGAAAAUGCAGACCAACUGGACCCUGCAGGCUCUCAGACUUUGAUACUGUUCCUCCUACAAUGCUCUUCAUCUCUAACUUCACAGUUCUGUCUUCAAAACUCAACCUAAAUGUCCCUUUCAUGAUUUUUCUAAAUAUUUCACUGCUGCAGCGACUUGCUUUUAUGACAGUUAUCUACAUCUUUUCAUCACCAGGCUGCCUUGUCUGAGGCAAAGACAUGUCUCUGAUUCAUUUGGAUUUCAGAGUACUCAAUGUAGUACCUAGAAUGAAUAUCUGACUGGCACUUCCAUUAUCUGGAGUUGAUUAAAAUCCAGGGGACUAUGAAAUGGAAUAUAGAAUUAGAAAUGAAAUAUGAAAUUAAUCCAUUGGAACAUGCCCUACAUCGUAAUGCACACUUAACACUAAAAUUUUGGAUGAGUGAUAAAUGAGUGAGGAUAAAGUCAUAAAGUGGUAGAUAAAUAGUGCUGGUCAUUCCUUGGAAUAAGAUGAACUUUUCCAUCCAAGCAAACCUUGCCUUACUAGUGUCUUCUGCAACUGUGAACUGAUGACUUUUAAUUUUAAAAUUAGUCACAUUAUUUUCUCUCAAUGGAUGUUCUUUGUUAUUGUGCCUAUGUUUCUGUUGUGUGUCCUGUGAAGUAGAUCCCCCACCUCCCCAAACCUGCCUACUCAAAAAGAAAAAAUGAUGCUGAUAAACAUGAACACAAUGAGACUGUUUCUCCUCAGGUUCCUCUAUGGACUGGUGAUUGUCUAUACAUAGCCUUCAUUUUCUUUUCAUUUCACUAAAACAAUGCUUAAGGUAUGAAUUGCAAUUAGGAAAUAAACUGCCAAAGAAAAGCAAAGAACUCUUUCUAUAAAAUUCUGAGACUAGAGUUCUUUAGACACGUCAUGCUUACUGUGCUCUGUGUGUUCACAUUAUUUAGACUUAAUUUUAGGAGGUGAAUGCCUGGUUCUCCCCACCCUUUUAGUUCUUCUUUUUUUCUUUUAGUACCGAAAAGGAGGUACACACUCCAAUAUGUUCCAGUUUCAGGAAAAAACCCUGAAAAUUCUAGUACUUGUGGUGGUAACAUUGGAAAGUAUUUUAAAAUAAUUCAUUGCAGGACCAGGAAUAACUGAAAAUACAAAGAUAAAAUUUAAUUUCACUAGAAUGUAUGUUUCAUGGCCACUGAAUUCCAACAACCCUUUAGUUUGAAAGCUAUUUUUCAAGUUGGAAAUUGGACACAGAGAAAUUUCCUUUAUCACGGGUGAAAACCUACCUGUAGGGGUUGAAAUUUUUCUCCGAAUGAACUGUACUUCUCUCCUUGUGUAAAUAAAUAAUAUUGGAAAGAGAAUGGAAGUCUUGAAGUAGCAGGAAAUGAAAAGAACAGAAGAGUAAGAGGGGCUCAGUGAGGCAGCUAGUCUUGAAGUGGCACUCCAAAUAUUUUAUUUCCACCAAGUAGAGUAUCUACAUUUUCUAACAUCAGGAUAGUUGGCUUUCUUUUUAAAUCAUCAUUGGGCUCUGUAAUGUAAUUUUACAUCAUAUAUUAUUAACAUUUAUAACUGUAAGAAAUGCUUGAAAUUACUUCUGUAUGUGAUCGAAGUAUAAAUUUUGCCAAAAAGAUAUACUGGGUGUCACUGUACAGAUUUAUCUUACAUAUUUUAUGCUGCAGUGUUAGAAGUCUGUUAUAACAAAUCUUAACAGUGUCACGCCUCUGUACAGUUUUCCUUAAAAAAAAAAAGAGAAGCCAAUGUACUUGUAAACAGUAUACUGUGAGAUGAAAAUUUGACAAUUCCUAAAUAUCAUCUCAAUGUACACAAAUCACAAGAUUCUCCCACCUGUGUGGUCAUUUUACAUUGCAAGAGACCCCUGCAGACAAUAUUAUAAAAGGCAACGUUGUUAAAGGGCCCCGGCAGCCAAGUUCGUGCUGCUGGAGUCAGUGCUGCAGCCACUGCCAAUUUCCUCAGUGGCUUGAGGUUGUAAGUUGAUUCCACCAAGGCAAAUGUCAAGUAAUUAGACUUUGUCCAGAUGACUGAACAGCCAGACUUCUCAACCACUCCUUUCACGGGGAUGGCUGGGCUCUGGUCACUUCACCUGCAGGUCAGUCAGGGCACUGGAGAGCUCCUCGUCAGCCUGUGCGGAGACGCUCGCUGGCGUGACGUUGAGAUGGAUGUCGUACUGCUGGUCCAGGCCAAGGUAGCAGUCGCUCAUGAAAUACAGUGUGUAAAUAUACCUCAAAUAUAAAAAUGGAGCAAAAAUGUAAAACCACUCUUCUCAUCACAGUCAUAGUCAACUCUUUUGGAACUCUAGGGUUAAGAUUCUGCUUACCUGCCUGGUACCUCAGGGGUAUAAAAAGAGAUGGAGACCACGUGAUGAUUUCGGACAUAUCCCACUCUUUUCAAAGCGAUAAGUUCUUUCUUAUCCACUUCUCCGAGUAUCAAAAACCAUCCUUCAUCUUUUGAUUUGGGAAAUCGAGGUGUGACUGCAUGGCUGUCUUGCUUUCCCUGUAAACCCACACACGCACACACAAACCCCAUUAAUAACAGCCAGAUUUUCUAUACCACUCGGUUGUCGUUAAAAGGCUAUGUUGUCUUACCUGAAGGCCAUAAAUCUUCAUGUUUUGGUGUGUUCAUGAUCUACACCAUUUUUUAAGAUUCUCAAAGCACCGUAUAGACACUACUUUGUGGCUAGAACCACCAGAAUUAUUUGGCUCUGUUAGAACAGAAAGCCCUGAAUCUUGACAUCAAACUAACAUAUUCUCACACCAUUCUUCUAUGAAAUUAACACUCCAUUUGCAGAUGAACAAAUUGAGAGACAACCAUGUUAAGCAAAUUUUCCAAAGUCUUAAAUCUACAAGAGACUGAUACUCAGGAAAAAGUCAAUCCAGCCUAGACACUGGACCUUGAGAUAAUAAGCACUAUGUCAGAUAAACAUCUUUCCUGCCCCAACCCAAGAAUAAAACUCAUAUGAAAAAGCACAUAUUCUAAUAUGGUGAUAUUAAGAAGUCCUUUCUCUGAGGAAUGGGAAUUGUAAAGCCAAGCAAUUUAUAAAACAUAUUAAUAAGAUUAGAUAUCAUGAUAGUGACAGGACUUGAAGUCUUUAUGUUAGGUUGAUUUUACAAAAUACAAGAUUAUUCUAGAGAUUCUUUAAGACAAAGACUUUCUGGUGUAAAAUGUACAAAUAACGACAUGUACUAAUAAUGAUGUGCACUUAAUCCGACUUUGCUCAACCUUUUACAGGGAGAUGUUUCACAUAAGGCAUUUUUAAAGAGAGGUCAGAGAGCAAUGUAUUUUUACAGCAUUUAGAAACAAACGAAUUUUUUUUAGCAUGAUUAAAUCUAAUUUUAAAGUACUGAUAUUAAGGUGAAAAUCUUGUUGUCAGAAACAUUUGCACAGGCCUCACAAUUAAGUUGUCCCCUGUUAGUGCUCUCCAAGUGCCUUAGACACACCUCAGUACAGUGUGGUAAGUUGUUCGGGUGUUUCUUUGUUGAGACCAUGAGCCCCCUGAGGCUGGGGCACAUUGUUUAGCUAUGUUGACAGGCAUAGCUUCUGUCAGGGUGUCUGCACAGGUCAGGGCAAAGAGAACAGGCAUUGAAAUCAGAGAACUCUCUGCUCCAAGCCCGCUCAUGUUUUCAGACUGUAGGUCCUUGGCAAAUCUAACUCCCCAAGUUCCAUCAUUCUGUAAAAUGGGGAAUCACACCUCCUCACAGGGCAG